rnacentral:tRNA from 1 species
GGAAAAUUAGUUAAAAGAUAAUGUGUGCUUGUCGAGCACUUGUUGCUAUUUUUGGUAUAGCAUUUUCUG